rnacentral:rRNA from 1 species
ACAUGCAAGUCGAGCGAGAACAGGGUAGCAAUACCCUGAGUACAGCGGCGCACGGGUGAGUAACACGUGGGUAAUCCGCCCUGGAGUGGGGAAUAACACCGGGAAACCGGUGCCAAUACCGAAUACGAUCCCGGUGUCUGCCGAUGUUGUGAUGAAAGG